GAAUUCCUAGUGUAGCGGUGAAAUGCGUAGAUAUUAGGAGGAACACCAGUUGCGAAGGCGGCUCUCUGGACUGUAACUGACGCUGAGGCACGAAAGCGUGGGGAGCAAACAGGAUUAGAUCCCCUGGUAGUCCACGCUGUAAACGAUGAGUACUAGGUGUCGGGGGUUACCCCCUUCGGUGCCGCAGCUAACGCAUUAAGUACUCCGCCUGGGAA
rnacentral:rRNA from 1 species